GACGAACGCUGACGGCGUGCUUAACACAUGCAAGUCGAAGGGAGUGGCGAACGGGUGAGUAACACGUGAGUAACCUGCCCUUUUCUUUUGGAUCAGCCUGGGCAACUGGGUCUAAUACUGGAUGGAUUGGGAUGGGCUCGCGGCUUAUCAGCUUGUUGGUUGGGUGAUGGCUUACCAAGGCUUUGACGGGUAGCCAGCCUGAGUGGGUGGUCGGUCAAACUGGGACUAGGAUACGGCCCAGACUCCUACGGGAGGCAGCAGGGGGGGAUAUUGCACAAUGGACGAAAGGAUGAUGAAGCGACGUCGUGUGGGGGAUGAAGGCCUUCGGGGUGUAAAAUCCUUUCGCCCGCGGAAUGGUAGUGGGUAAAGAAGCGACGGCAAACUACGUGCCAGCAGCCGCGGGAAUUC
rnacentral:rRNA from 1 species